rnacentral:lncRNA from 1 species
CUGGCUAUGGCCUGACUCCGGAGGUCUCGGGCUACCUCUGGUGGGCGUUCAGAAGUAGCGCAAAUGUGGCUUGGCUAUUCCCAGGGCACGAUGAACCAUGAUGUCCCUGGGCUCUUUGCCAUCUUUGAUGUUUGCAUUAUGCUGUGGGCCCACGCUGGAACCAAGCCUAGAAAGCAAGGCUUCAUAACAGCUUAGGAGGCAGGAGACCAGAGACACGGGAUGGAACAAGAUCUCAGGCCCAGGGAACACAGCAUGCUCCCUGGUGACAGAAGGCCCCUCAGAGUGGCACACAGCCUUGGGAAAGGUGGUAAUGCUAAGAACUGUAAAGAAUGAUGGAUAGGAGCUGGGAAGUGAAAAGAGGAGGAGGGAAAGGAAGGGGUGCUUGUCUGACUCCUCCUCCAGGACUGAAAUCACUGACGGGAUAUUGGAGAACAGCAGGCGCAGUGUAGACGGCCUCUCCCCAGGGGAAGGUCCGCAGCAGUCACCCUUGUCUGAGCUGUUCAGGAGACACUCAGCCCUGGGUCUCCCCUCCUGGCCAUCAUGUCAUUGACUGUCACUGAUGGCUCUGGCUGGGGCUCAGCCUCGACUCCCAAGUCAGCCAUACUAGAAUCUCCAAGAGGCUUGAGAAGGCCAACCCAGCUUGAAAAAUACUUCCCUGAAAGGCUUAUUUUGUUUUGGGGCAGGUCUCAUGCCAAUCUGCCCUGCCAAGAAAUGAUUGCUGUUGAACUGUUGGUUUUCAUUGCUGUCAAACAUAAUUUUACAUGCAGAGCAAGAUUGGGGAGUCACCCUCCAGGGCCAGCUGGGAGAGAAGGCUUUGAUAGGCUGGGAGUUUCUUAGAAGCCUCUAGAGAAUUUCUUUAAAAGGAACAUCAAGAAUGGCUGAUGUCUGAUGAGCAGAGCAGGUGCACCCCUUACUGCAGAACUGAGUGGGUUGCGUCCAUCUAAAAUACCCACGACAAUCUUGCAGGGUCCUGCCGGACACACAAAAGUGGGGAAGAAUGCAGAAACAAGACUGAAGGCAGGAGGAGAAGGGGUAACAGGGGAUGAAUGGUUGGAUGGCAUCACCAACUCAAUGGAUAUGAGUUUGAGCAAGCUCUGGGAGAUGGGGAAGGACAGAGAAGUCUGGUGUGCUGCAGUCUGUAGGGUCGCAGAGAGUCGGACACAACCGAGUGACUCAACAACAACAAAGCUUACUGAAGGGACUCUGGGCAGUACAGAGGCUUGCUUUUCAGUCAACAUACCUGGAGGCAAUAGGAGGUGA